rnacentral:rRNA from 1 species
GACGAACGCUGGCGGCGUGCUUAACACAUGCAAGUCGAACGGAAAGGCCCUGCUUUUGUGGGGUGCUCGAGUGGCGAACGGGUGAGUAACACGUGAGUAACCUGCCCUUGACUUUGGGAUAACUUCAGGAAACUGGGGCUAAUACCGGAUAGGAGCUCCUGCUGCAUGGUGGGGGUUGGAAAGUUUCGGCGGUUGGGGAUGGACUCGCGGCUUAUCAGCUUGUUGGUGGGGUAGUGGCUUACCAAGGCUUUGACGGGUAGCCGGCCUGGGAGGGUGACCGGCCACAUUGGGACUGAGAUAGGGCCCAGACUCCUACGGGAGGCAGCAGUGGGGAAUAUUGCACAAUGGGCGGGAGCCUGAUGCAGCAACGCCGCGUGCGGGAUGACGGCCUUCGGGUGGUAAACCGCUUUCGCCUGUGACGAAGCGUGAGUGACGGUAAUGGGUAAAGAAGCACCGGCUAACUACGUG